UACGUAGGGGCCUAGCGUUGUCCGGAAUUAUUGGGCGUAAAGAGCUCGUAGGCGGCUUGUCACGUCGGAUGUGAAAGCCCGGGGCUUAACUCCGGGUCUGCAUUCGAUACGGGCUGGCUAGAGUGUGGUAGGGGAGAUCGGAAUUCCUGGUGUAGCGGUGAAAUGCGCAGAUAUCAGGAGGAACACCGGUGGCGAAGGCGGAUCUCUGGGCCAUUACUGACGCUGAGGAGCGAAAGCGUGGGGAGCGAACAGG
rnacentral:rRNA from 1 species